UUUUGUGCUUUGAAGUGCCUAGUUUGUGGAUGACUUUGAACAUUCUAUCUCCUCUUUAUGACAACUCAAAGGCCAAACCCAACCAAAAUUAUAUCCUCAGCUCGUAACUAAAUCAAAUCAAUGGAGCUCUUCUCCUUUCCCUGCUAUCAAAACCACCCAUCUACUUUCCUUCACAACCCUCUUAUUUCCAGUCCCAUCUCAAGGAAGAGAGCAUCCAAAGCAAACUCAAGUGUGUUCCUGCCUUGUCACUGCUCAUUUUCUUCACCAAAUGAAACUGCAAAACCAACAAUACUUUCUUCACAACAUGGGGCCAGGAGGGCACUCAUUGGUUCCUUCCUUAUUGCUGCUGCGGAAAUUUUUGUCUGUGACAUUACUGAAGCUGUUAGCAAAAGAGCUCUUAAAGGAGCCAAAAUACCAGAGAGCGAAUACAAAACGCUUCCCAAUGGUUUAAAGUACUAUGACUUGAAGGUUGGAAGUGGACCGGUAGCGAAGAAAGGAUCCAGGGUUGCAGUUCACUAUGUUGCCAAAUGGAAGAAUAUCACUUUUAUGACUAGUAGACAAGGACUUGGUAUCGGUGGCGGCACGCCUUACGGGUUUGAUGUGGGUCAAUCCGAGAGAGGAAAUGUCCUUAAAGGAUUAGACCUUGGGGUUGAAGGGAUGCAUGUUGGAGGGCAGGUUAGACCAGUUUCUUCGGCUGCUAAUAGUUCCUCCGGAGCUCGCUUAUGGAAGUAAAGGAGUCCAGGAAAUCCCUCCGAAUGCAACAAUUGAGUUGGAUGUAGAACUACUAUCAAUCAAACAAAGUCCAUUUGGAACUCCUGUGAAAAUUGUUGAAGGUUAAACCUCUCAUGAACCACACAGCAGUAUGAUCUUCCCACUCAUUAAGAAUUUGCUAUAUAUUUUUAGCACAAAUGAUCAAUAAUUCUGUAAUUGGUGUCUAUAACACACUAGUGAAUAUUGCUUUGUAUAUUGUUUUCCAGAGUGUAAUAUAUUUGAAGAUUGCUCCCUUCUA